GGGCAGUGGCGGGGCCCGGGGCGGGGGCAGCUUUUCUAUUUGGAACAGAUUGGAUGAAGGUUUAGAGAUCCAAGCCACAAGAAGAAGAGAUAACACACCGAGUGCAAUGGUUGCUCCUGCUGGAACUACAAUGUGCCCUUCCAGAAACCUCCUUGAAGUUGGUCUUCUAAGACAGGGUAAUGGAAAUGAAGGGCUGAGUUUCCUUUUGUUGUAAUUGGGCCACAUUUCACUUUGGAGGGUAUGCAGACUUGUAUAAGCUUAGUUAAGUAGGGCCCACAGUCCUACCACAGGGGUGACGUGAGCUUCAUCUCUGCAGCCUUCCAAUGGGAAGCAGUGCAUGAGGCUGCGGGUUUAUUGCUUCAGGGAGUCUUGUCCUUGAUUUCUUGGGAAGGUCCUCAAUAAGGGGGAGUGAACAGAGAGCAAUCUUUGUCAUUUUGUCCACAGCUCCUGACUAUGACUGAAGCCAGUGGCUGGGUU